UCCCGGGUGGCUCAGACGUAAAGAACCUGCCUGCAAUGCAGGAGACCCAGGUUCCAUCCCUGGGUCAGGAA
rnacentral:tRNA from 1 species